rnacentral:rRNA from 1 species
UGGGGAUUUUCCGCAAUGGGCGCAAGCCUGACGGAGCAACGCCGCGUGAGGGAGGAAGGCCUGUGGGUUGUAAACCUCUUUUCUCAAGGAAGAACACAAUGACGGUACUUGAGGAAUCAGCAUCGGCUAACUCCGUGCCAGCAGCCGCGGUAAGACGGAGGAUGCAAGCGUUAUUCGGAAUUAUUGGGCGUAAAGCGUCCGUAGGUGGUUAUAAAAGUCUGUUGUUAAAGCCCACAGCUCAACUGUGGAUCGGCAAUGGAAACUGUAUGACUUGAGUGUGGUAGGGGUAGAGGGAAUUCCUAGUGUAGCGGUGAAAUGCGUAGAUAUUAGGAAGAACACCAGUGGCGAAGGCGCUCUACUGGGCCAUAACUGACACUGAUGGACGAAAGCUAGGGGAGCGAAAGGGAUUAGAUACCCCAGUAGUC